rnacentral:rRNA from 1 species
UAAUGGCAGGUCAGCAUACUGCCGUGAAUACGUUCCCGGGCCUUGUACACACCGCCCGUCACACCAUGAGAGUUGGGAAUACCCGAAGCCUGUGAGCCAACAAACGAGGCAGCAGUCGAAGGUAGAAUCAAUGAUUGGGGUGAAGUCGUAACAAGGUACC